CAGUCGCCGCGGGAAUACGAAGGGUGCAAGCGUUAAUCGGAAUUACUGGGCGUAAAGCGUGCGUAGGCGGUGAGUUAAGUCUGCUGUGAAAUCCCCGGGCUCAACCUGGGAAUGGCAGUGGAUACUGGCUCGCUAGAGUGUGUCAGAGGAUGGUGGAAUUCCCGGUGUAGCGGUGAAAUGCGUAGAGAUCGGGAGGAACAUCAGCGGCGAAGGCGGCCAUCUGGGACAACACUGACGCUGAGGCACGAAAGCGUGGGGAGCAAACAGGAUUAGAUACCCCCGUAGUCCCUGUCUCUUAUAC
rnacentral:rRNA from 1 species